GAUGAACGCUAGCGGCAGGCUUAAUACAUGCAAGUCGUGGGGCAGCAGGAUUGUAGCAAUACAAUUGCUGGCGACCGGCAAACGGGUGCGGAACACGUACGCAACCUUCCUUUAAGUGGAGGAUAGCCCGGGGAAACCCGGAUUAAUACUCCGUAACAUUAUGAGGUGGCAUCAUCUUAUAAUUAUAGCUCCGGCGCUUAAAGAUGGGCGUGCGACUGAUUAGGUAGUUGGCGGGGUAACGGCCCACCAAGCCUACGAUCAGUAACUGGUGUGAGAGCACGACCAGUCACACGGGCACUGAGACACGGGCCCGACUCCUACGGGAGGCAGCAGUAAGGAAUAUUGGUCAAUGGACGCAAGUCUGAACCAGCCAUGCCGCGUGAAGGAUGAAGGUCCUCUGGAUUGUAAACUUCUUUUACCUGGGAAGAACUCCAUGGUUUCUACUAUGGUUGACGGACCAGAUGAAUAAG
rnacentral:rRNA from 1 species